GCCAUUUUGGCUUCCGGUUCCCUUUGCGGUUUCUGCCACCGGGGUCUGGGAGGCGGCGCGUGGACCGGGGUGGAGGCGCACGGGACCGCGGGAGGGGAGUACUGCCGGCCACCACGGUUCUGACUCCCGCCGUCGGGGCGGGAGCUCGCUCGGUCCAAGGUCCCAGAGCCGGACCGCCGUCCUUGGACUUUGAGCGGGUGCGUGCGGCGGCCACGUGGGCGAGGAACGUGGGUCCGGCCGCCUCUCGCGGGUAGCGGCCUUGGUUCCUCCCGCGGGGCUGGGCUCGCCGGGGCCCGGAGCCCGCCGGGAAGAGUUCGGAAAUCACACGUGUCCUGUUUCCCGCUCUGUGCCUUCCCUGUUUGAAUUCUCUUAGGAAUCUCUAACUUCAUUGAGGACACGGGUGUAAGCAGAAGCUGUGUUCUCAGCUCCAAGAGGCAAAUCCCACGAAAGCCUAGGCAGGUGAAUUUCCUAAAGGCGAUGACAGUUGGAAAACCUGUGUUUUCAGCACGUGAUAAAUCUGCAUAGUCAGCAGACAAUGAAGAUUUGGCAUUCAAGAACUACUCAAAUACUUCUCGGUAAUAGCUAUCAUGAGCCUGCCUUGAUAGACCGAACUUGCUCAUAUUUAAAUCAUCAAGAUUGAGGAGAGAAUGUAACAACUUUUAAAAAUGUUUCUUAACCCGUAAAUACUUGGAGAAGAUGUGUUAUAUUGGACCAUGGACCUUUUGCAAGGGGAGGGGAGAAGAAAGCAAAAGUAAAGUUUAAAUUUAUAUUCAACCUUAAUUUGAUUGUGUAUAUUUGUCACCAAAUAAAUUAGUGCAAAGUUGACCAUACAACUGAUUAUGCAA